UGAAUAGAAAAUUCUACUCUCACUCUUUAUCCUUGGUGUUCUACUUCCCGAUGAGAUCAUUGACGCUUCUUCCUCGCGCCGAGAUCGUCUUCUUCCUCAACUUGAUCGUUGUCGCUUCUUCCUCGUGACAAGAUCGGCUUCUACUUCUACCCCUCCUCUUCUUCCGAAUCACUACCUCAUCUUCUUCUUCCCCGUUGCCGAAGUUCUACCCGUAGUGUACCGCCUUCCUCGUCGAUCGUGGAUCCGCCGCAAUCGUGUGAACGGUGCACUUUUUGCAUCCCUCAUCUCCUGACAUCCUAUUAUCCUAUUUAAUCUAGCCUUCCACCAUUACCAACCAUAGUUGCUGAAAAACCAAACCUAAAGCUUUAAGUCCGAUAAAACGAAAUUACUUUUUGGAACUAUUAUAUGUAUUUGCAGUUGGUUGUUAUUAUAUCAUAUAUUGAAAGUUUAUCAUCAUCUUAGUAUUACUUCAAUUCGAUUUUAAUAUUUUUCUUGCUGAAUUUUUUGCUUUCUUGCUUAAAGUUCAUCGGAAUUGAUAAAUUGAACCUAGUUUUACCUUUAAACAAAAGCAAACUUGACAAUUCAAUUUUGGCAACCUCUCGGUUUGCAUCAAUUGGUAUCAGAGCAAGUUCUUUUCGUGGGAGCGUUUGUUUCGAUCUAAACAACUUUUUCUUGGUAUUCAACUUUGGGCCAAAAUAUUUAAAAAAAAAAAAAAAGAGCAUCACUUUUUUUGAUCAACUUGUAAGCAUUUGGUAAUGGCAGGCAAUAGUAAAAAUCCUCGUGAUUGGAGAGAAGCAUAUGAAAACAACAAGAUUCCAUAAAAAGUAUGCAAAAUCAAAUGAAUAACAUUCAACAACUAUUGGAAAGAUUAACUAUGCAACAACAUACUGCAGUUGGAGAAAAUUCGAAAAGUGACCCUAAUUUUGACAAUCGUACUUUACCAGCUAGAAGAAAUCCUCUUUUUCAAAAUCAAGGAAAUAUACAUCGAUAGGAUCAAGGCAUUAAAGUGGACGUGAGUGAGUUCGAGGGUAAAUUACAACCUGAAGAUUUUGUGGAUUGGCUAGACAAAAUAGAACAAUUUUUGAAUGGAAAGAAUUACCUGAUGACAAAAGGGUUAAAUUUGUCUCCCUUAAAUUGAAAGGACAUGCCUUAGUAUGGUGGAAACAAGUUCAAAAUGAUAGGGUUAGAAAGGGUAAAGAAAAGAUUACCUUGUGGGAAAGAAUGAAAGAAAAAUUUAAAGGAAAAUUCUUACCGAUUGAUUAUCGACAAAAUAUUUUUCAAAUAUUACACAAUCUUAAACAAGGGUCUAAAUCGGUACAAGAAUAUACUGAAGAAUUUUACAACCUUCAAGCUCGUAAUGAACUUAAAGCGGACGAAGAAUAGCUAAUAGCUCGCUAUCUAGCCGGUCUUCGAACUCAAAUCCAAGAUGAGUUAGCCCUUUUAACUUUCUACAGGGUCGACAUGGUUUAUAGUCAUGCACUUAAGGCUAAGAAUAAACUUAAAAGACAAACCUUUCGUCAGGGAAGUGCGAGCGUAAAAAACACCAUAGGAACUAAGCCUAUCCCAAAGAACGAUAGUCAAACCUCUACAAGACCUGUUCAAGACCUUAAGGGCAAAGGAAUUUUAGGUGCAAAACCCGUUGAAUCUGGCAUCAUUUGUUAUAAAUGUAACAAACCUGAACAUAAAUCCUCUGAUUGUCCUCUGAGAAAAUUUGAUUCUAGAGCCAAUCUAAUAGAAAGUCAUGAAGAAAAUGAAAAUGGGGAAGAAACUUUAGAACAAGAAGAUGAAGAUAAGAUUUUCAAAGAAACUGCUAAUGCUACUGUAACAAAUCUCAUGAUCCAUCGAGUCCUAUCAGCUUCUAAGUCCACCCAAGAUGAUUGGAAGCAUCGUAGCCUUUUCAGAACCAUCUGUAGUGCGGGAGGCAAGUUUUGCUCUCUGGUUAUUGAUAGUGGAAGUACUGAAAACUUUGUCUCUAGAGAAAUGGUUGAUAAACUUAAACUGAAAACUGAAAAACUUGCUCAACCUUACAAAAUAGCUUGGUUUAAGGAUGGGGAUGAAUUUCCUGUAACUGAAAGAUGUCUUGUUGAAUUUUCUAUUGGGAAAACUUAUGCUGAUAAAGUUUGGUGUGAUGUUGUUCCCAUGGAUGUGAGUCACCUAUUGUUAGGUAGACCUUGGCAAUUUGAUCGUAAUACUAUACAUGAUGGUAGGGAGAACACUUACAUUGUCACAAAAGGCAACAAGAAAGUUAGAUUGGUUCCCCUAAAUUACUUUCCCAAACCAAAAUCUAAGCCGAUUGAGUCCCAAAAGCAACCCUCCAAUAAUGAGCAGAAAAUGAUGGUUUUGAACAAAAGUCAAUUCUCUAAAGAUCUAGCAAAGUCUCCAUUGGUAUAUAUUCUUUUGGCAAAAGAAAAAUCGAAAAACACUGAAGUUUCUCAAGCUGUUCAACCAUUGGUUAAUGAAUUUUCUGAUAUCAUGCCUGAGGAACUCCCCGAUGACCUUCCACCUAUGAGAGACAUCCAACACUUCAUUGCUAAUCGAGUCGCUGAUGCAUUCAGUCGUCGAAACCAUUUACUUAUCCCUUCUUCCUUACAGAUAGUAGGAUUUGAGAUAGUUAAGGACCAAUAUCAAAAUGACCCUAACUUCGGUCCUAUCCUAAAAAAGCGCUUAUCUCCUAACAAGGAUUCACCUUCUGAUUACUGUUUGGACGGCGGGUAUCUUUUUAGAAAGUCCAAGUUGUGCAUUCCCCAGGGAUCGUUAAGAGAGUCCUUGAUUCAGAACUUGCAUAGUAGCGGGCUAGGGGGACAUUUCGGAAGAGACAAAACUUUGGGAUUAGUUCAAGAGAGGUAUUAUUGGCCUAACAUGAGUAAGGACGUCGAAAAGUUUGUUCAGCGGUGUAAGACUUGUCAAUCUUUUAAAGGAAAAACUCAAAAUACUGGCUUGUACACUCCCCCGUCCAUUCCUACUGUGCCCUGGGAGGAUAUUAGCAUGGACUUUGUCCUAGGCCUACCCAAGACUGCACGCCAAGUUGAUUCAAUUUUUGUGGUUGUUGAUCGUUUUACGAAAAUGGCUCAUUUUAUUCCUUGCAAGAAAACUUCUGAUGCAUCACAUAUUGCAAAAUUAUUUUUCAAUGAAAUUGUACGUUUACAUGGCAUUCCUAAAUCAAUUACCUCUGACCGAGAUACAAAAUUUGUUAGUCAUUUUUGGAGAACUUUAAUAUCAAAGGCAGGAAGCAAACUGAAUUUCAGCAGCCCAUACCAUCCACAAACUAACGGGCAGACAGAAAUAGUAAAUCGAUCCUUGGGUAAUAUCUUAAGAUGUUUAGCUGGAGAAAAACCAACACAAUGGGAUUUAAUUUUACCUCAAGCUGAAUUUGCUUAUAAUAGUUCCAUAAACCGAACCAUUGGAAAAUUUCCUUUUGAAGCUUUAUAUGGCCAUCCUAUAGCCCACUUUCUUGACCGAGCACCAAUACCUUAUCCUGGUAGAGUUAGUGCAAAUGCCAACUAUUACCCAAAACAGAUUCAAGAGGUGCAACAACAGGUUCAUCAGAGGUUGCGGGAUUCCACCGUCAAAUACAAAGAGUCAGCAGAUAAACAUCGCCGAGGUAUGACUUUUAAUGAAGGAGAUAAUGUCUUAAUCUAUUUUAGAAAAAAAAAAAGGUUCCCAGCUAGAGGCUAUAGCAAGUUGAACAAGAAAAAGCACAGGCCAUUCAAAAUUUUGAAGAAAUUAGGGGAAAAUGCUUAUCUAAUUGAUCUACCUCCGAAAGUAUCGACGUCCCCGAUCUUCAAUGUCAGCGAGUUAUACAAGUACAAUGGAGAGGCCCCAUCUACUGUCGAUAUUGAUGGCUUGACAUCUCGCUCCGACUUUGAAACUCCAUCAGAUGGCGUGGAGGAUAUUCUGGACGUGCACGAGUCUGCGACACGACGUGGUACUCAUCGCCGAUACUUGGUGCGUUGGCGUGGACGACCAUUGUCCGAUAGCAGUUGUAUUUCUGAGGUGAAGUUGCGCCAACUUCGAGAGGACUUAUACCAUAGCUAUCAGGAUGCCAUCUCGACGGAGUCGAGAUUUUCCCAACUUGAGGGGAACUGAUGCAGCAAAUAAACCUCAUUUUACUUUUGAAUGCAAUUUUCUUUUAUUUUGUAGGUUCGUAUUUGAUUCGGACUUAAAUCAUUUAGUUUUAAUUGAUUAGGCUAACCCAAAACCUUUUCUCCAAUAAACAAGAAAACAAUCCCAAAAAAGACCUUUGGAAUUCCCUAAAAUAAGACCUUUGAAGUUCCCAAAAUUGCUUCGUUUUCUAUGCAUGACUCUUAGGUGACCGUGUUAUGUUGAAAACGAAAAGACAAUAAUUUAUUAUAGGAGGGCUCUCAACACUAUAAAUACAUGGUUCUUGAAGCCUUCUGGGAGAUAUAUUUGGAUGAAUAAAAAAUUCUACUCUCACUCUUUAUCCUUGAUGUUCUACUUCCCGAUGAGAUCAUCGACGCUUCUUCCUCGCGCCGAGAUCGUCUUCUUCCUCAACUUGAUCGUUGUCGCUUCUUUCUCGUGAUAAGAUCAGCUUCUACUUCUAUUCCUCCUCUUCUUCCGAGUCACUACCUCAUCUUCUUCUUCCCCGUUGCCGAAGUUUUAUCCGUGGUGUACCGCCCUCCUCGUCGAUCGUGGAUCCUCCGCAAUCAUGUGAAUGGUGCACUUUUUGUAUCUCUCAUCUCCUGACAUCCUAUUAUCCCAUUUAAUCUAGCCACCAUUACCAACCAUAUUUGCCAAAAUACCAAACCUAAAGCUUUAAGUCCGAUAAAGCCAAAUUUACCUUUAGGAACUAUUAUAUGUAUUUUCAGUUGGUUGUUAUUAUAUCAUAUAUUGAAGGUUUAUCAUCAUCUUAGUAUUACUUCAAUUCGAUUUUAAUUUUUGUUUUGCUGAAUUUUUUGCUUCCUUGCUUAAAGUUCAUCGGAAUUGAUAAAUUGAACCUAGUUUUACCUUUAAACAAA
rnacentral:lncRNA from 1 species